AUGCUUGCUUUGGCAGUACAUCUACAUAAAUUGGAAUGAGACAGAGAAGAUGGCCCCUGUGCAGGGAUGACAUCACUAUUUCAUUCUUGAAAAGUACCUUU
ensembl:snRNA U6 U6 spliceosomal RNA